AAUCAACGCUGGCGGCGUGCCUAACACAUGCAAGUCGAACGCGAAAGUGGAGCAAUCCAUGAGUAGAGUGGCAAACGGGUGAGUAACGCGUGGGCGACCUACCUUCGAGUGGGGGAUAACCUUCCGAAAGGAGGGCUAAUACCGCAUGACAUCCCGUGUUUGGAUACACGGACAUCAAAGCCGGGGAUCGUAAGACCUGGCGCUUGAAGAGGGGCCCGCGUCCGAUUAGCUAGNGGUGAGGUAACGGCUCACCAAGGCUCCGAUCGGUAUCCGGCCUGAGAGGGCGGACGGACACACUGGAACUGAGACGACGGUCCAGACUCCUACGGGAGGCAGCAGUGGGGAAUUGUUCGCAAUGGGCGCAAGCCUGACGACGCAACGCCGCGUGGAGGAUG
rnacentral:rRNA from 1 species